rnacentral:rRNA from 1 species
AUGGGCGAAGCCUGAUCCAGCCAUGCCGCGUGUGUGAAGAAGGCUUUCGGGUUGUAAAGCACUUUCAGUGAGGAAGAAGGCCUUGGGGCUAAUACCCCCGAGGAAGGACAUCACUCACAGAAGAAGCACCGGCUAACUCCGUGCCAGCAGCCGCGGUAAUACGGAGGGUGCGAGCGUUAAUCGGAAUUACUGGGCGUAAAGCGCGCGUAGGCGGCGUGAUAAGCCGGUUGUGAAAGCCCCGGGCUCAACCUGGGAACGGCAUCCGGAACUGUCAGGCUAGAGUGCAGGAGAGGAAGGUAGAAUUCCCGGUGUAGCGGUGAAAUGCGUAGAGAUCGGGAGGAAUACCAGUGGCGAAGGCGGCCUUCUGGACUGACACUGACGCUGAGGUGCGAAAGCGUGGGUAGCAAACAGGAUUAGAUACCCUGGUAGUCCACGCCGUAAACGAUGUCGACUAGCCGUUGGGGUCCUUGAGACCUUUGUGGCGCAGUUAACGCGAUAAGUCGACCGCCUGGGGAGUACGGCCGCAAGGUUAAAACUCAAAUGAAUUGACGGGGGCCCGCACAAGCGGUGGAGCAUGUGGUUUAAUUCGAUGCAACGCGAAGAACCUUACCUACCCUUGACAUCGUGCGAACUUUCCAGAGAUGGAUUGGUGCCUUCGGGAGCGCACAGACAGGUGCUGCAUGGCUGUCGUCAGCUCGUGUUGUGAAAUGUUGGGUUAAGUCCCGUAACGAGCGCAACCCUUGUCCCUAUUUGCCAGCGAUUCGGUCGGGAACUCUAGGGAGACUGCCGGUGACAAACCGGAGGAAGGUGGGGACGACGUCAAGUCAUCAUGGCCCUUA